rnacentral:rRNA from 1 species
UACAGAGGUGGCAAGCGUUGUUCGGAAUUACUGGGCGUAAAGGGCGCGUAGGCGGUCUUGUAAGUCCCGUGUGAAAUCCCUCGGCUCAACUGAGGAACUGCACGGGAAACUGCUUGGCUUGAGUUCGGGAGAGGGAAGCGGAAUUCCGGGUGUAGCGGUGAAAUGACGUAGAUAUCUGGAGGAACACCGGUGGCGAAGGCGGCUUCCUGGACCGACACUGACGCUGAGGCGCGAAAGCUAGGGGAGCAAACGGG